UUGCUACUGUAUUUCCACUGACCCGUACUGUUGUUUAGCUCUUCCUGAUCCGGUGAGUACUCCUCGCCUUCUUCGGCUUGCGGUACCCACUGGAAGGGGAGACAUGUUUACAUGUUCUCACCUCCCCCACCAUUUUUUCAGGUAUCGCGGACGGUGAGGGUUGAGACGAGACGUGAGACACGUACGUAGCGGUCGAUAGAUCUUCCGACCCAGGUUAUUCGGUGUAGUUCCUACCCUUACUAUUCUGUUGUUAUAGCUUAGAUAGUUUAUAUGGUUCAGUAUUUUUAUUACAUUUGAAAAUAUGGGUUUUCAUGAAUGUAAUAAACUGGUUUGUGAAUUUUGUAAAAUAAAAAUAGUUUUCUACCGCUCGUGGUAGCGUUUUUAAAAAGAUAAAAGUUUCUGUGUAGGGAACAGUUUUCAAAAGAUUUUCUGUGGAUUUUGUAUCUUAGUAUUUCAAAACCUGUUUCUGUGGUUAGAAACAUUUUAACUGAUAGAUGUGGAUUUAUGUUUAAAUAUUGAAUGUAUAAAUGUGAAACUGUGGUGAAUGGUGUAUGAAUGUAUAACUGUUGGUUAUUUGUAUGUUCAUCUGGUUGCGGUUGUAUCAUGUUUGAACUAUUGUACUUGUGCGACGCCGUGCAAAUACAGGGGAGACUCUGUC
rnacentral:lncRNA from 1 species